AGUUUUCAUUAAGCCACGUAGCUAAGUAUUUAUAUUUGCGCACUAUUUCCAGUUGUUGGCCUAUAUUUACGAAACCAUGCAACGAAUAAUUUCACUAGCUAAAACAGUUUUAACGACACAAAUCCCAAGAAAGAGUUUUAAUAUAAUAUCUGCGAAUUUUAGUAUAUUACAAAAUAUGAAAGAAAAAUUGUUACCAGCGAGUCUGCCAGUUAUAAAUCAAAGUUGUGGUUUUAAAGUAAAAGGUAUAGUCAGGCGGCGUUGUAAAGCCUGCUACUUUGUAUCGAGGCAAGAGAGACUCUAUAUCAUCUGUCCAGCGCAUCCCAGGCACAAACAAAUGGCUAGAAAACCAAAACCCUUAAACACCUAUAUAUUGACUCACGCAAGUCAAAGCAAAGUAAGACCAUGGUAAUAGGAUGUAUAAAUAAAUAUAUUAAUCAAAAUAGAUUUUUAGAUAGUUGUAAAAAAUUUAAAUAAACAAAUACAUACUAUCAAAUUAUUACUAUUUUUUUUUAAAUUGAAACGAUAAUUAUGAUAAAAUAAAAAAUAAGAUACCUUUCCCUUUCCUUCAUAUUGCUGCUUUGUUUCCUACUUGCUUUUAACAAUGUGUUUUAUGGAAGUUAGGACAAAGCUGAAAAUAUCUUGCUCAAAACCUUGUGGUGAGUUUGUGGAAAUUGUAAUUCUUAUAUGUUAAUCUUUA
rnacentral:misc_RNA from 1 species